UGAUAGCGUAUAUUAAAAUUGUUGCAGUUAGAACGCUCGUAGUUGAAUAUCUGUCUACUGUUUGCUUGGUCCGCUUUGCGUGCACCAAGCAUCGGAGACAUCCGUUUGCAAUUUUGAAUUUCAAUGUUGCAAACCGUUCACUUUGAGGAAAUUAGAGUGUUCAAAGCAGGCUUAGCUUGAAUACUUCAGCAUGGAAUGAUCGAUAGGACUUCCGUCCUAUCCGUUGGUUCUAGGGGCGCGAAGUAAUGAUAAAAAGGGUCGGUCGGGGGCAUUCGUAUUGAACAGUCAGAGGUGAAAUUCUUAGAUUUGUUCAAGACGAGCAACUGCGAAAGCAUUUGCCAAGGACGACCCCAUUAA
rnacentral:rRNA from 1 species